rnacentral:rRNA from 2 species
UACGGAGGGGGUUAGCGUUGUUCGGAAUGACUGGGCGUAAAGCGCGCGUAGGCGGAUCGCAAAGUUGGGGGUGAAAGCCCAGGGCUCAACCCUGGAAUUGCCUUCAAGACUCGCGGUCUGGAGUUCGAGAGAGGUGGGUGGAAUUCCGAGUGUAGAGGUGAAAUUCGUAGAUAUUCGGAGGAACACCAGUGGCGAAGGCGGCCCACUGGCUCGACACUGACGCUGAGGCGCGAAAGCGCGGGGAGCAAACAGG